UGCAUGUGCUGGGUAGUUGCCCCUGCUUUGGCAGAGGAGGAAAGUCCGGGCACCCUCUAAUAUUAUAGAGAAGAAGAUAGUGGUUAACAACCACCCUCCGAUCUUCUCGGAGCGAGACAGUACCACAGAAACAACACAACCAAUCAUCAUCAACCUAAGUAUAAAGCUUGGGAUGGUGAAAGAGGUACUGGUGAAAAGAGUGAGGUAAAAGCUCACAGGCAUUACUGGUAACAAUAAUGCGCGGGAAACACUUAUCUGGUGCAAGCCCUUUCAUGGGCGCUAGAUCGUAACAGUAAUGUUGCGGCAAGACAGAUAACUACCACCAAUUUGGUACAGAACCCGGCUUACAGGCACAUGUCAAAG
rnacentral:RNase_P_RNA from 2 species